rnacentral:rRNA from 1 species
CCGGACCCAAGGGAAAGAGGUACCGUCUACUCUCUUUCCCCUCGUCUUCGACUUCUUUUCUCUUCUACGCUCUCACGCCCAAAGACACGAGGGUAGGGCGAGAAAUAUUUCCUCGCUCCACCCCCGAGCCGGCGGGGCGAGUCGCUUAGUUCCGUGCCCUUCCCGUCCCUCAGUCCCGGUUGGGCGACGGAGACGAGCGCUGCUGGGUCAAAGGGUGAGGUGGCAGGCACUGGGGUUCGCGUACCCUCGGCGCACCGCCUCUACGUCUUGGUUCCGCUGUCUACUCCGCCGGAGCGAGGCGGGGCACUUGCGCCCCUCACCUGCAGGGCUUUUGGUACGUGGCCGGGGCAGGUCAUUUACGUAGUGCGGGGGUGUGGAUGGAGGCAAAUCUCUCCUCCCGCACUUGGCAGGGGUAGUAGCACCGGACCGCGUACGAACUCCCCGAAUCGGGGCGCGUGUGGAGGGUACUAGAGAGGGUGCUGCGGCGCAAACUGCGCACGGCAAGACCCGCACGCGCCACCCUCGCCUCUCUAUACGCCGCACUGGAUCCGGCGCGCACGGGCACGUGACAAAACCCGGACCGGGUUGCCGCGAGCCGUGGCACAUACCGGGUCCGGGCCUCCGAGGACAGCCACAUGAUCUCAUCCCCAUGGGAUCAUGGGGCUUGAACACGUGCCCGUCAGCGUCGUGGGGCGCCGUUCCGAACGGCCCACUGGCGGUUCUGGGAGGCACCAAGGGAACUUCUGGUAAGUUCUUGUUUCAUGAGUUUGGUUCCAGGGCUGUUCUCCUCGAAUGGCCCUCCCGGUUGGUUCCGGGGCCGUUCUCCUCGAACGGCCCUUCCUGAUGGUUCCGGGGACGUUCUCCUAGAACGGCCCUUCUCUGUACUGGGGCCGUUCUCCUCGAACGGCCCUUCCGAUGAGUUCCGUAUGGUUCUUUCGAACGACGCUGCGCGGGACGCAGGGCCGUUCUAGGCCGCUCGCUGUUCGAAGGCCUGCGCUGUUCUGCUGCCGGCGCCGUUCCUCGAACGGCGCCCUUUGGGGGUGAAGCCCGGGCGCGAGGUCGUGUGGACGAUUGCACAGCGAGACCCUGAGAGGGUUCGUGUGCACCGUCCUCCGGCACGUCGAUCCCCAUGCACCACCGUUCGCCUCUACUUCUCUUCGGGUAGCACCGUUCGCCACCGCGAGGAGUGCCAGUGGAAAACGUGACAAACCCUCUGAGUCUGUCCGUAAAUUACGGAAACAGGGGACGGCAGUCUCAAUCCAUCCCGCGUGACAUAGGUGUCAUCGCCAUCGACGUGGAUGGCGUAGGAAAAGGUAAAAAUGGGAAGAUCAGAUGCAACGGUGGACAGCCACUGGGGAACUUUCAUAUUUUCCUCCGGGUUCGCGUUGCAUCUCCUCCAGGCCGGUCAAGCCGAGUAACCUCUGUGGUCUUUGUGAGGGUGCGAGUCAGACCAUCGCAGCUAGCGAGGACUCGUUUCCAAGUUAUGUGUGUUUGUUCGUCGUCAUCCCAAAAUGCGUAGGCACGCCGGGCUUCGACCCAUUUUGGCGGGCGCACGUGGCAGAGCUAGGCGAGAAACACGCGAGAGGCGGAGGGUGGCUUGGCUUUCCCCGGGCUAGGGGUAUCCACAAGCACCUAGUCAAGGGGGCUGUCAAAAAAGGAGGUUUUCAACCAAGUUGCAACACAAAACAAGAACCCCUAUUUACAUUUUGACUUGUUAUCUAAAACUAAGGUAUACGAGACAAAAGGAAGGUUUUCAGACAUCUAAUAACUAUGUUGUUUGAAUUAAAAUUACCUGCGUAUUUAUAUCACGGUUACAUAGUAUUACUAUUUUUACAAACAAAACCGCCGAAAAAAGCGAUAAAAGGAAUAUGCUGGUUUUCCAACAUCACUACGUUCCUGUAAAACGGUAGAGUCACCCUCGUUUGCUACCUUCCAAGGUGGACAAUAUUUGUCGUUAAUACAAAACAACUAGGGAUGUACCGGAGGAUGUCGCAGUUCUUAGGGUAGAGACAGUAGAUCGAACGUUUGUACUUCUAAUGGGAAAUGUUCUGAAGUCUUUGUAGGUAUAUACGCACGGGAGAAAUACGAUACUAUAUUUAAGAUACAAAUUACCGUAAAAGUGCUCAUAAAGUGUACUCGUAUACUUUUCUCCUCCACAAUUUUGGCGAGUAUUAUACCUGGCACUAGGAAAGUGUAAGAACAAGGGUAUUAUACCUGGGACUAGGAAAGUGUGAGAAUAAGGGUACUCGUAUACUUUUCUCCUCCACAAUUUUGGCGAGUAAAGUGUGAGAACACUAAAGAAUGAAGUUUAACCUUAAGUGACGUAUUUUGUUUUCGCUGCAUGUUUAUACUGCAUAUUUAUACUGCAUAGUUGCCCCGCGCCGCACGGCGGCGCGCCCAUACCGAUCAAUCCUAACAAGUUAUUCUUUAAUCAAGUAACUGACAUUCGAUCCAAUAUACAAUGAGGGAGGAAAGUAGAUAUAUCCCAGAUUACGCAAAAAGCUCCGAUUGAAACUGAUUUAUAAUCUUGAUAUUAUAUACUGUACGUUAAAUGUGUUUCGUGUGGCAAUUUAAGCACACACUUUCAUCGAAAGUUACUAUAUUAAAAGUGUAACACGUACAGUACAUGAUAAUUAGAAUAGUUACCAGUUUCCACCAGAAUUUUUUACGUAAUCCGGGAUAUAUCUACCUUCCUCCCUCAUAGACAUUUACAAAGCAAAACAUCAACUCUUAGUCUGCCUGCGAGCCCUGUAAGUUGGGAGCCGUUCUCGCAAUAUGUGUAUUCCGACUUCUUAUAUGGUGAGGUUGAUCAUAGAAACGUUGCCCAAGGACAAGACGAUUUAGUUUCUAUUAUUCCCGUAGACGAUCUGUAUUAAAAAAAAAUGUUCCUCUACCACACGUCAAUAAAACAAGGACACUUAGAUAGAAUACGGCUUCAUACAUACGUACACACAUAAAAAAAAACGUCAAAUACUUGCGACUACCCUUUCACAUGGCUGUACUCCAUGAGGCAAGACUUAUCCUGUCUGAGCCCUUCUCAGAUUAAUUGUUCUCGUUCAUCAUGAGGAAAACCAAGAUGUCAUGCUAUCUAGAAAUAAAAGACUACAGCUGUUCCACCAACUACUUUUAAGUUUGUCGACGUUGACUCCUUUUGGUCUCUUUGUUUUUGUCCAAUCCGUUGUAGGUUCUUCGUUUGAUUUGCAAGUACAUUAGACAACCGCUCUCGGAAUAAAUCAAAGUACGUCUGCCACGGGGUGAGAUGGAAGGCCUCCAAAGGUACGAUACCUAAGUGUUGGUACCCGCAUAGAGAAGGUACACGACAUCUCGUCCACCUGCACCUAAUCCCCGGUCUGGCUCGACCUGCUGGCCACAAAAGCCUCUGUCUCCUAUUCCGGUUGCUAUCGUCGAUGUGUCACCCCAGACCGUCCUAGUUAUUCCACUGGGCGUCCCGAACCUUGUAGGCGCUCUGUACCGGCGUGGUCCCCUCGCGCAGAAGCCUUUCUACUUAUGCGGUCCGGUUAUUAUAUCUGGAUAAUCGUAAGAAGUUUGAUGAUAUACAGAUGAGACGAAAUAUUUUCCUUUGAGAAGACGACGUGAAGAUAAAAUUAGUAACAUAGAAUUGACGUUACAAGCUUAUAAUUGUUCAUGUAGUCAUAUUGACUACGUGUUUCACUGCGUCUCCUCCGCGCGGGGUUGGUAAUCACAACUCAUUCUCACAUCCUGUACACCAAGUCGAUCCAUCCAUACAUCGACUAUCUUGACUUCCUUUAUACGGG